rnacentral:rRNA from 1 species
AUGGAUCCCAACAUGUUCACCUACAAGACCAAUGAGGCGCUCAAUGUUGCGCACGAGGUGGCGUCAGAGGCCGGCCACGAGGAGUUGACGCCGCUCCACCUCGCCGCGGUGCUGGCCAAGGACAGGUCCGGCAUCCUACGGCAGGCCAUCGCCCAUGCCUCAGAUGGCAGCGACGACGCGGGCAAAUCGUUCGAGCGCGUCGUGGCAACCGCGCUCAGGGGGUUGCCUUCGCCGCCCCUCUCCCAGCCGCGGGAGCGGGAGCGGGACACCGUCCAAGCGUCCACCUCGCUGUUCAAGGUCAUCCGCCGCGCCCAGUCGGCGCAGAUGUCGCUAGGUGACUCCCACCUCGGUGUCCACCAGCUGCUUGUCGGCCUCCUUCAGGACGCGCACAUCUCCGACGCGCUCAACGAAGCCGGCGUGCCCGUCGCGCGGGUCAAGGAUGAGGUGGAGAAGCUCCGUGGAGGCGACAACCGGCGCGUUGAUUCCGCUUCGGGAGACACCAACUUGCAGGCCCUCAAGACGUAUGGCCGCGAUCUGGUCGACGUGGCUGGCGCGGGCAAGCUCGACCCCGUCAUCGGCCGCGACGAGGAGAUCGGCCGCGUGGUGCGCAUCCUGUCGCGGCGCACUAAGAACAACCCCGUCCUCAUCGGCGAGCCCGGCGUGGGCAAGACCGCCGUGGUGGAGGGACUCGCUCUGCGCAUCAUGCGCGGCGACGUGCCGAGCAACCUCCGCGACGUGCGCCUCGUGGAGCUGGACAUGGGCAUGCUCCUGGCCGGCGCCAAGUACCGUGGCGAAUUUGAGGAGCGGCUCAAGGCCGUGCUGAAGGAGGUGGAGGAGGCCGAGGGGAAGGUGACACUGUUCAUCGACGAGAUACACCUAGUGCUCGGCGCCGGGAGGAUGGAGGGGGCCAUGGACGCGGCCAACCUUUUCAAGCCGAUGCUCGCCCGGGGCCAGCUGAGGUGCAUUGGCGCGACGACGCUGGACGAGUACAGGAGGUACGUUGAGAAGGACGGGGCGUUCGAGAGGCGGUUCCAGCAAGUCUUUGUGGCAGAGCCCAGCGUGAACGACACCGUGAGCAUACUGAGGGGGCUCAAGGAGAGGUACGAGGGGCACCAUGGUGUAAGCAUACAGGACCGUGCAUUGGUGGUAGCCGCGCAGCUCUCGUCAAGAUACAUCACGGAGCGUCAUCUGCCUGACAAAGCAAUCGAUUUGAUUGACGAGGCAUGCGCAAGCGUCAGGGUGCAACUCGACAGCCAGCCUGAAGAGAUUGACAGCCUCGAGAGGAAGAAGAUCCAACUGAAAAUCGAUCUUCUUUCUCUCAACAAGGACAAAGACAAGGGUAACCAAGAUGAUCUAAGGAAGGUCAGUGAACAGUUGGGCGCUUUGGAGGAGAAGCUGAGGCCGCUCAAGGAUCAGUAUGAGGAGGAGAAGGCGAGAAUCGAUAGGAUCAGGCACCUGAAGCAGCGUCGUGAUGAGCUGCAGACCGCUGUGCAAGAGGCCGAGCGCCGAAUGGAUUUGGCCCGUGUGGCUGACCUCAAGUAUGGUGCUCUGAAAGAGAUUGACGAUACCAUUGCCAAGCUAGAGGAUAAGAUUGGGACUGGUGUCAAAUUGAUGUUAACGGAGACUGUCGCCCCGGAGCGGAUUGCAGAGGUCGUGAGCCGCUGGACAGGCAUUCCUGUUACUAGGCUUGGACAAAAUGAGAAGGUGAGGCUGCUUGGGCUGCUUCAGAGACUGCGUGAUAGGGUGGUCGGACAGGAUGAAGCCGUCAAUGCAGUUGGAAAGGCCGUCCUAAGGUCAAGGGCUGGUCUUGGACGGCCACAACAGCCUACUGGUUCAUUCAUGUUCCUUGGAUCCACCGGUGUUGGUAAGACUGAGCUCGCCAAGGCUCUUGCUGAGCAACUAUUUGAUGAUGAGAACCUAAUGGUUCGCCUUGACAUGUCUGAAUAUAGGGAAGAGCAUUCGGUUGCCCGGCUAAUCGGCGCGCCACCAGGCUAUGCUGGUCACGAGCAAGGGGGCCAACUGACAGAACCAGUGAGGAGGAGGCCAUACAGUCUCAUCCUCUUUGAUGAGGCUGAGAAGGCAAAUGUACAAGUAUUGAACAUUCUCCUGCAGGUUCUUGAUGAUGGAAGGUUAACUGACGGGCAAGGCAGGACAGUUGACUUCAAGAAUACCGUCAUCAUCAUGACUUCAAACAUCGGGGCCGACCACCUCCUCAAGGGAAUCAAGGGCAGUUCCACUUCCAUGGAGCAAGCUCACGGUAAGGUCAUGGAGGAGGUGAAGGGGCAUUUCCAUCCGGAGCUACUGAAUCGUCUGGACAAAAUUGUCAUCUUCGACCCUCUGUCCCAUAAGCAACUGCGCAAGGUCGCUCGACGCCAUAUGAAAGAUGUGGAAGCCCGUCUUGCAGAGAGGCGCGUUGCUCUGGUCAUCACUGACGACGCCCUGCACGUCAUCCUGUCACAGCCUCACGAUCCAGGCCAUGGUGCUAGGCCUAUCAAGGGAUGGAUCGAGGACAAUAUAGUCACCGUGCUCUCCGUGAUGUUGAUCAACGAAGAGAUUGCUGAGAACUCCACAGUUUACGUAGAUGCUGCUCCCAACAAAAAUGAGCUGACCUAUAGGGUCGACAAGGAUGGAGGAGUGGUGAAUGCGCAGGCAGGCCAUGAAUCUGAUAUCGUCAUCUAUGUGCCUAGUGGUAGUGGAGCAAUUGGGAAAUAA